rnacentral:rRNA from 1 species
GACGUAGGGCGCAAGCGUUGUCCGGAUUUACUGGGCGUAAAGCGUGCGUAGGCGGUUUGUUAAGUCUGUCGUGAAAGCCCCGGGCUCAACCUGGGAAUGGCGAUGGAUACUGGUGAGCUAGAGUACGGUAGAGGAGAGUGGAAUUCCCGGUGUAGCAGUGAAAUGCGCAGAUAUCGGGAGGAACACCUAUGGCGAAGGCAGCUCGCUGGGACGUUACUGACGCUGAGGAGCGAAAGCCAGGGGAGCAAACAGG